UAUCUCUGUAGAGUCUGCAUAUCAAUAAGCGGAGGAAAAGAAACUAACUAGGAUUCCCUUAGUAACGGCGAGUGAAGCGGGAAGAGCUCAAAUUUGAAAUCUUCAAGGUUUUACCUUGACGAAUUGUAGUUUAAAGAAGUGUUUUCUGUUGGUGUUUUGGUAAAAGUUCUUUGGAAUAGGACAUCAUAGAGGGUGAGAAUCCCGUAUUUGACCAUUACUUCCAGCGUUGUGAUACACUUUCAAAGAGUCGGAUUGUUUGGGAAUGCAGUCCAAAAUGGGUGGUAAAUUUCAUCUAAAGCUAAAUAUUGGCGAGAGACCGAUAGCGAACAAGUACCGUGAGGGAAAGAUGAAAAGAACCUUGAAAAGAGAGUUAAACAGUACGUGAAAUUGUCAAAAGGGAAGCGUUUGACACCAGUGUUGUUUUCUCGAAAAUCAAUUAAAAAAAGUUGGAUUUUGUAUUGUUAAGACCUUAUCAGCUUACUGUACUCUUUUCUUGCUUUUUUUAAUGCACUUUUUGUUUAACAAGUCAACAUCAAUUUCUUUUGUUGUAAAAGAGUCAUUGGAAGGUGGCUUUCACUUCGGUGAAAGUGUUUAUAGCCUUUGGCUUCUGCAAUCGGAGAGAUUGAGGUCUGCAGCGUAGAUCCUUCGGGGCUAGAUACGUAGAUGCUAAGUUAUAGUUUUUUAUAGACAACUUGUUGACUAUAAUUAAUCAUGUAGCUUACUCGUUUGCGCUAUUUUACCUACGCUUAGGAUGUUGACGAUCAGCUGAGCGCG
rnacentral:rRNA from 1 species